AGCGAACGCUGGCGGCAGGCUUAACACAUGCAGGUCGAGCGGGCACUUUCGGGUGUCAGCGGCGGACGGGUGAGUAACGCGUGGGAACGUGCCCUCUGGUUCGGAAUAACUCAGGGAAACUUGAGCUAAUACCGGAUACGCCCUUUUGGGGAAAGGCUUGCUGCCGGAGGAUCGGCCCGCGUCUGAUUAGCUAGUUGGUGAGGUAACGGCUCACCAAGGCGACGAUCAGUAGCUGGUCUGAGAGGAUGAUCAGCCACACUGGGACGGAGACACGGCCCAGACUCCUACGGGAGGCAGCAGUGGGGAAUAUUGGACAAGGGGCGCAAGCCUGAGCCAGCCAUGCCGCGUGAGGGAUGAAGGCCUGAGGGUUGUAAAGCUCUUUUAUCCGGGAGGAUAAUGACGGGACCGGAGGAAUAAGCCCCGGCUAACUGCG
rnacentral:rRNA from 1 species